GACUCUUGGAAAUGGAUAUCUCGGCUCUCGCAUCGAUGAAGAACGUAGGAAAAUGCGAUACUUGGUGUGAAUUGCAGAUUCCCGUGAACCAUCGAGUCUUUGAACGCAUGUUGCGCCCCAAGCCUCUGGCCGAGGGCACGUCUGCCUGGGUGUCA
rnacentral:rRNA from 1 species